UAAUCAUUUGUCUCUUAAUUAGAGGCUUGUAUGAAUGGCUGAAUGAGAUAAAAACUGUCUUAAUUUAAAAUAAAUUUGAAUUUUAAUUUUUAGUAAAAAUGCUAAAAUUUUUGUAAAAGACGAGAAGACCCUAUAAAUCUUUAUUUUUAUAAAAAUAUUUUUUAAUGUAUAAAAAAUAAAUGUUUAUUUUUAGAAAAAUUAUAUUGGGGUGAUAAUGAAAUUUAAUAAACUUUCAUGGUUUUUAAAUAUUUAUAAAUAGUUUAAUGAUCCAGUUAUAUUGAUUAAAAAUUUAAGUUACUUUAGGGAUAACAGCGUAAUAUUUUUAGAGAGUUCAUAUUAAU
rnacentral:rRNA from 1 species